rnacentral:rRNA from 1 species
UACGGAGGGUCCAAGCGUUAUCCGGAAUCAUUGGGCUUAAAGGGUGCGCAGGCGGUCAAGUAAGUCAGUGGUGAAAUCUCUCGGCUCAACCGAGAAACUGCCAUUGAUACUGCUAUACUUGAAUAUAGUCGAAGUGGGCGGAAUGUGACAUGUAGCGGUGAAAUGCUUAGAUAUGUCACAGAACACCGAUAGCGAAGGCAGCUCACUAGACUAACAUUGACGCUCAUGCACGAAAGCGUGGGGAGCGAACAGG